rnacentral:rRNA from 1 species
AUUGAACGCUGGCGGCAUGCCUUACACAUGCAAGUCGAACGGCAGCACGGGUGCUUGCACCUGGUGGCGAGUGGCGAACGGGUGAGUAAUACAUCGGAACGUACCUUAUCGUGGGGGAUAACGCAGCGAAAGCUGUGCUAAUACCGCAUACGCCCUGAGGGGGAAAGCGGGGGAUCGCAAGACGUCGCGCGAUUAGAGCGGCCGAUGCCUGAUUAGCUUGUUGGUGGGGUAAAAGCCCACUAAGGCGACGAUCAGUAGCUGGUCUGAGAGGACGAUCAGCCACACUGGGACUGAGACACGGCCCAGACUACUACGGGAGGCAGCAGUGGGGAAUUUUGGACAAUGGGGGCAACCCUGAUCCAGCAAUGCCGCGUGAGUGAAGAAGGCCUUCGGGUUGUAAAGCUCUUUUGUCAGGGAAGAAACACCGGCUCUAACACAGUCCGGGAAUGACGGUACCUGAAGAAUAAGCACCGGCUAACUACGUGCCAGCCGCCGCAGUAA